UAUACUACAUAUAAAUAAAUACUACAUAAGGUGGUAUCUUUUGCUAACAGUGACAUGACCCUGUACAUAUCUAGCUGUAAAAAAACACACUGCAGAACGUUUUGAUACAGUAAAAGUAACUGGUAGCUACAGAUUAUUACACCAGACAAUGUAAUUUAACCAAAGAUUGUUGGUAUCUCUGACUGGGAGAGUAGGGUAAAUUGAAACCAGACAUCACCUGAGACAUGCGCAGACCCAUGUAAACACGUGCACGAGCUCGGCAAGUAUGCAUGCGUCUCGUGCUUAUCCUUCAGGUGAUAUUAUAUCUGAACGCACCACUGUUACCAACGCUUUGAAAUCUUUAAUGCAAUUAUACUUUCCUGUGGAUAUAUUGUCUCACAUUCCUACCUCAAGAGGACCAACCAGCACAGCCAAUCGGUUAAAGCGGUAAGGCUGAAAAUGAGGAACACAAUGGUUGCUGCCUGCUGAUUCGUCCAAAACUGCACUUCUGAUGAGUGUGGUCCAUUUCUGGAUGGCGAUGGGUGAGACGGUGUGAGAGAUGGGAGGAUGUGAACGAAAUGAGAAUCAAUGAAACAAGAGAUAACAAAUGAGUGGAAGAGAAGGACAUGAGGGGGUGCACGUCAUAGGUCAGACCACAAUGGUUCUUAAAGCCUGUGGUCUUUUAAAGAAUGCUGACAGUGAUGGGGAGGUGUUCUACUUUGGAAGCCUGUGUCUCUGCCACUGUCAUGUGAUCACAGCUGUCUCUGCUACUGUCAUGUGACCACAGUUGUCUCUGCUACUGUCAUGUGAUCACAGCUGUCUCUGCUACUGUCAUGUGAUCACAGCUGUCUCUGCUACUGUCAUGUGAUCACAGCUGUCUCUGCUACUGUCAUGUGAUCACAGCUGUCUCUGCUACUGUCAUGUGAUCACAGUUGUCUCUGCUACUGAUUUGACACACACACACACACACACACACAUAUUUACUCUACUUUGUUCAUGUGUUUCACCUAACCUCAUGACCAAAAAUACACAGAACCCUCUAAAGUCUUCGGUGGUGUUAUGUGGACUGUGCCAAUGUGUAUUCUAUAGAUGAAACUAACACUAACGUGUGGUUGUAUUGGAUAUGUGAGACGUACACUUCUAUGUUUCUGUAACACUCUCUGGAUGAUUCUGACUGUGUAUCUCUCUUAGUUGGGCAGCAUAUCAACUCUGAUAACAUGGUCUUUAACCAAUUAGAUAUUAAUGAAGCCAAGGAUAUCAACUCUGAUAACAUGGUCUUUAACCCUUUAGAUAUUAAUGAAACCAAGGAUAUCAACUCUGAUAACAUGGUCUUUAACCCGUUAGAUAUUAAUGAAGCCAAAGGAUAUCAACUCUGAUAACAUGGUCUUUAACCCGUUAGAUAUUAAUGAAGCCAAAGGAUAUCAACUCUGAUAACAUGGUCUUUAACCUGUUAGAUAUUAAUGAAACCAAGGAUAUCAACUCUGAUAACAUGGUCUUUAACCCGUUAGAUAUUAACGAAACCAAGGAUAUCAACUCUGAUAACAUGGUCUUUAACCCGUUAGAUAUUAAUGAAACCAAGGAUAUCAACUCUGAUAACAUGGUCUUUAACCCGUUAGAUAUUAAUGAAGCCAAAGGAUAUCAACUCUGAUAACAUGGUCUUUAACCCGUUAGAUAUUAAUGAAGCCAAGGAUAUCAACUCUGAUAACAUGGUCUUUAACAGUUAGAUAUUAACGAAACCAAGGAUAUCAACUCUGAUAACAUGGUCUUUAACCCGUUAGAUAUUAAUGAAGCCAAAGGAUAUCAACUCUGAUAACAUGGUCUUUAACCCGUUAGAUAUUAAUGAAACCAAGGAUAUCAACUCUGAUAACAUGGUCUUUAACCCGUUAGAUAUUAAUGAAGCCAAAGGAUAUCAACUCUGAUAACAUGGUCUUUAACCCGUUAGAUAUUAAUGAAACCAAGGAUAUCAACUCUGAUAACAUGGUCUUUAACCCGUUAGAUAUUAAUGAAACCAAGGAUAUCAACUCUGAUAACAUGGUCUUUAACCCGUUAGAUAUUAAUGAAACCAAGGAUAUCAACUCUGAUAACAUGGUCUUUAACCCGUUAGAUAUUAAUGAAACCAAGGACAUCAACUCUAACAUGGUCUUUAACCCGUUAGAAAUUAAUGAAACCAAGGACAUCAACUCUAACAUGGUCUUUAACCCGUUAGAUAUUAAUGAAGCCAAUGAUAAAUAUAAUGAUUGUGUUGAUUUAGAUUCAAAUUUCCUGAAAUGUACCUGAAAUUUGUGACAUACUAUAAUGUUAAGCAAUUUAACAACCUAUAUAGCAAUUUAUCUAAUUCCAAGAUGAGCUCAUUUUUUUUAAUACUUAAAAAAAAAAAUGGAACGUUCGCUGUCUUCCUAAUAAAAAUCACGACCCCCUUGUUCAUUGUCUGUCUUCUCUCGGUCAUGUUCCGUUGUUGUCCUUUCGGAAACGCGGUGGACUGACGAGACAACGAUGCUUUAUGUCUCCUUUUUAUAAUGCUGUUCACCCACUGUAGCACGUCAAGAAUGGGAGAAGAUGAGUCUAUUUGUUUUCAUAAACAUUUUCAAUUCUUUGUAAGAGAGGACCUCGCACUUAAAUCUUGUAACGUUAUUCUUGAAUCUUUUUUUUUCCUUUCUAGAAAUUCCCUCCUGUUAGUUUGUUUUUGCUGGUAAAAAAGUGGUCAUUGGAUACGUCAAUCUGCCACUCGAUUCUGACGUUGGUAAUUUCAUUGAUAUCCUCUCAUCCACCUUCCAUUUGAUUAAUAUUGAAGAUAACACGUGUUUUCUAUUGGGUGAUUUACAACAUACAUUUAUUUAAAAGUGAGAACCACUCACUGACAUCUGACUUUUUGAGUUCUUUAUACUUCAGCUAUUUGUACCCUCUCAUCUAUUAGCCCACAAGACUGACCAGUUCAACUGCCACCGUUAUUGGUCAUAUUUUUUUACAAAUGAUUUGAAUAAUGUGGCUAAUACAGGUAUACUUUAUACUGCCAUAUCUGACCACUUUCCAAUGUUCCACUUCUCUUUGGCAGCUGGAAAUGAACAGAUGGGAAUGAUUCAGUAGCAUUAAAUGUAGAAUAUUUAACUAAAGUAAUUGUGAGUCCUUUUAAUAUAUUGAUUGAUGAUAAUUUCAUGGGAAAAUACUUAUCAGGCCAAUGAAGUCUGCUUACCAGACUUUUCUCACAUAUUUCAACUCUGUAUUUCACCACUGUGUUCCCUUAGUUAAACCACGUAAGAGACCAGCAGAAGGGUUCUGGAAACCUUGGUUUUACAACCGGUCUCAAAAUAUACUCCGUUAACAAAAAAAACUAGUUGUAUGAAAGUUUCUCACAAAUCUCUCUUCCCUGAAUUCUGCAAAUCACAAGAAGUAUAAGAACAAAUGGACUAUUUUGGAUAUCCCUCCCAAAUAUAUUUUACUAACAAAUUUAAGAAUCCUUAAAUAAUAUAAAGUCAACUUGGAAAAUCCUCAAUCAACUGUUGACUAAGAAAAAGGCAUCUACAACUAUUCCAUCUCAAUGUCCUGUUGGAAAUUGAGACCUAUAGUGAUCCUGAUGCUAUUUCAUGUCAAUUGAAUAACUGUUUUUUGUGAAUGUGGGUUCCUCUUUGUCAAAGAAAAUAGAGAGAACUGAUGGAAAUCCCCUUGGAUUUCAUUAAGGGGCAUUUCCCUUCUCUGCUUCAGUUUUGAUGUUCCUAAUGUAAUGGAGGUGAUGAUGUAAUGGAGGUGAAGAAGGUGAUUGGUAACUUAAAGAUAUCAACAGCAGGUCAUGAUGAGAUUGGUGAAAUCAGUGUCUUCCUCGAUCACUGAGCCUCUAACGUGCAUCUUCACCAAAUCAAUCCCAACUGUUAUUGUUCCUAAGGAUUUGAAAAUUGCCAAAGUUAUCCCACUUUUAAAAAAAAUCUGGGGAUCCAAGAUCUUUUACAAAUACUACCAUGUUUCUCUAAAAUCCAAGAAAAAUGUGUGUAUAAGAGAAUGUUGAAACAUUUUAAAUCAAUACUGUAUUCUACAUGAGCACCAGUAUGGUUUUGGUACAAAAAUAUUCCACAGAUAUGUCUCUUUUCCAACUUGUGGAUAAAAUAUUUACAGGCCUUAACAACAAUGAAUACGCUUGGCAUGUUUUUGUUUUGUUUUAUCUAAAGCAUUUGACACGGUUGAUCGUGAAAUAUUACUUUUUUAAAUGGCAUUAUUUCAGUUUUCAUGAUUAAACAUUUAGUUGGUUAUAUAGUCGUUCAUCUACCAGGUCCAAGAUAUCUUGUGGCGUCCCACAGGGUUCAAUAACUAGACCUUUUGUUAUGCCUCAUCUAUAUCAUUGACCUUGCCGCUGGGUCUUCUACCAUUCCAUACUAAUCUAUAUCAUUGACCUUGCUGCUGGGUCUUCUACCAUUCCAUACUAAUCUAUAU